CGGGGCGUAGCGCAGUUGGUAGCGUACCUGUCUUGGGAACAGGGGGUCGCUGGUUCAAAUCCAGUCGCCCCGA
rnacentral:tRNA from 1 species